UCAAGCAAGCGGAUCUCUUGGUUCUGGCCAUCGAUGAAGAACGCAGCGAAAUGCGAUAAGUAACUCGUCGAAUUGCACGCAAUUCGAGUGCAAUCGAUCGAUAUCUUUGAACGCACGAUUGCGCCCCCUGGUAUUCCGGGGGGCAUGCCUGUCCGAGCGUCAUUACAACCCUCAAGCUCAGCUUGGUGUUAGGGCCCCGCCGCCCCUGGCGGGCCCUAAAGUCAGUGGCGGUGCCGUCCGGCUCCGAGCGUAGUAAUUUCUUCUCGCUCUGGAGGUCCGGUCGUGUGCUCGCCAGCAAGCCCCCGAAUUCCUUACACGGUUGACCUCGGAUCAGGUAGGGAUACCCGCUGAACUUAAGCCUAUCAAUAGCG
rnacentral:rRNA from 1 species